AUUGAACGCUGGCGGCAUGCUUUACACAUGCAAGUCGAACGGCAGCGCGGGCUUCGGCCUGGCGGCGAGUGGCGAACGGGUGAGUAAUGCAUCGGAACGUGCCCAGUAGUGGGAGAUAGCCCGGCGAAAGCCGGAUUAAUACCGCAUACGACCUGAGGGUGAAAGCGGGGGACCGAAAGGCCUCGCGCUAUUGGAGCGGCCGAUGUCGGAUUAGCUAGUUGGUGGCGUAAAGGCUUACCAAGGCGACGAUCCGUAGCUGGUCUGAGAGGACGACCAGCCACACUGGGACUGAGACACGGCCCAGACUCCUACGGGAGGCAGCAGUGGGGAAUUUUGGACAAUGGGGGCAACCCUGAUCCAGCCAUGCCGCGUGCGGGAAGAAGGCCUUCGGGUUGUAAACCGCUUUUGUUCGGGAAGAAAUCCUCUGGGCUAAUACCCCGGGGGGAUGACGGUACCGGAAGAAUAAGCACCGGCUAACUACGUG
rnacentral:rRNA from 1 species